UUGAAUUGUUGUUGAGGCGAGACGCCGGA
rnacentral:sRNA from 1 species